AAUUUUGAGACAACUUCUCAGCUGGGGUAAAUCUGCAAAGUUCUAAUGAAGUCAGUUGAACAGUGCCAAUUUAAAUCAGCUGAGACUUUUGGGCUGGAUGCCCUUCUUGUAAACCAAGCUGUGUUUGUCUGUAUCCCUUCUCACAAUCUCACCCCUCUUAAUGCCAGAGCUGUCUAUUUCAAAGUCCCUGCCAAAGGGAACACUCUCCUGUGUCUCUCUGCCUUCUUGACUGUCUGGGCUGAAUUCAGCCUGGACCAGAAAUAGAGAGGAAGCUGCCUGUCCUUUCCUGAUCCAGCGGAUACCAGAAACGUAUGUUUGUGCAAUCUGGAAGGCAUUUGACCACUUAAUACAAUUUCAUUUGUUCAGAGCAACCCAUCUGAGCAGUUGCAUGGGUGUCAUGCC